UACGUAGGGACCAAGCGUUGUUCGGAUUUACUGGGCGUAAAGGGCGCGUAGGCGGCAAUUCAAGUCAGCUGUGAAAUCUCCGAGCUUAACUCGGAACGGUCAGCUGAUACUGUUUUGCUAGAGUACAGAAGGGGCAAUCGGGAAUUCUUGGUGUAGCGGUGAAAUGCGCAGAUAUCAGGAGGACACCGGUGGCGAAGGCGGGUUGCUGGGCUGAUACUGACGCUGGAUGCGCGAAAGCCAGGGGAGCGAACGGG
rnacentral:rRNA from 1 species